AGGACGAACGCUGGCGGCGUGCUUAACACAUGCAAGUCACGGGGGUCCCGCAAGGGAUAACCGGCGAACGGGUGCGUAACACGUGAACAACCUGCCCUCGUGUGGGGGAUAGCCGGGCUAACGCCCGGGUAAUACCGCAUACGUUCUCUUUGGGGAGUCCCGAGGAGAGGAAAGCUCCGGCGCACGGGGGAGGGUUCGCGGCCUAUCAGCUAGUUGGCGGGGUAAUGGCCCACCAAGGCGACGACGGGUAGCU
rnacentral:rRNA from 1 species